UGUGUAGGCGGACCGUUAAGUGCUUUGUGAAAUCCCACGGCUCACCCGUGGAACUGCUUGGCAUACUGGCGGUCUUGAGCCAUCUAGGGGCGACUGGAACAAACGGUGGAGCGGUGAAAUGCGUAGAUAUCGUUUGGAACGCCAACGGUGAAAACAGGUCGCUGGGGAUGUGCUGACGCUGAGACACGAAAGCCAGGGGAGCAAACGGGAUUAGAUACCCCGGUAGUCCUGGCCCUAAACGAUGUCCACUAGAUCGUGGUGCCUUUGACGGCUUCACGGUCGAAGCAAAAGUGCUAAGUGGACCGCCUGGGAAGUACGGUCGCAAGGCUAAA
rnacentral:rRNA from 1 species